rnacentral:lncRNA from 1 species
CUCAUGAUAUGUUUUUGCAAACUGUAGAAUCAUAAUCAUUGUGUAAUCUAAUAAUGUUAGCUAGUACAGGUUUGAGAAAAGCUUUAAUAUUUACACAUAAUCGAUUAUAUUUAAAACAUAAUUGAUUAUAAGUUUCUUCACAAUUCUCUUAAUCAAUGAGAAGAAAGUUUAACAUGUUAAACAUGUCUCCUUUUUUGUGCUUUUCAAUAUUUUAUUUCUUUCAUUUUCAAAUCUUCUUUGAUUUUCGUUGCAUCCUUUCCGCCUACGACUUCCUCGCCUAAACCAGCCAACCAAUCCCUUUGAUUUUAUUAAACCAGCCAACCAAUCCCUUGAUAAAUAACCAGUUCAAAGCUUCAGGACUAAACCGGCCC